AAUAUACUGGGUUGCAUCGGAUCUUUCCAGAGUCUUCGGGGGUCGCCCACGAGCCUGCGCACGUUCUCUUCGGGUUGAGAUUUCUCCGAGGACGCGGAAAUCAGCCAUCGAAGCGGCGCUGAGGAUGGUGAAUGGAUUCGACUUCUUUUCAGAUCUAGUGGACUGAUUCCUUUUGCCGUCCGCGAGUGGGGAAUCCGGGAAACGGGGCGGGGGUGCACUGCCAUAGUUCCGUGGAUGUCCGAGGGAGGGUGGGGACGGCGGCGAGUAGCUCUUUCUGAGAAUUUUGGCCUGCCGUGGUGUCGCCUGUCCAAGAUAUGAAUGGGCUGCCGGACAGCGGCAGCGCGUCAGUUCAAGACUCUGGCCAGUUGAUGGGAAAAGACGACCCAGAAGCACCAGGAUGAACUCCAAGAGUUGUACCCUCUGACAGCCGCCGUGCGUGGGGAGGGUAUGCUUGUUGGAGAAGACUUUCAGACUUCAGAGGGUUCAUGGAGCAAAAGAGAGCCAUGUUCCUGAAGUUGGUGCUUCAUUCGACUCUUCAGGGGAAAUGAAAGAAGAUUCGGCUGCUGCGAACAAACGACAACAGCUGGUACAUAUUUCAGGGUGCAGAUGAUGAUGAAGGGGGCUGUGUGGGAAGAUUAGUCUUACAAUGCAGAUGAUGAUAUGGGGAAGACAAUGGAGGGUUUUGCUGAGCUGCGCAGUCUAUCGGUUGUCCAUCAGUACAUGAAGCUACUUCAUGACGGGGUCGCAAGCAAAAACUAUGAAGAAUGAAGGAUUUCGUCUCGGUCAAUCACUUACAUGCACAACCUGUACAAGCAUGCACUAGAGCUUGUUCGGCUAGGAGAUGCAAACCCCUGCGUAUGAGAAGCAUGGUUUUCAAUUUCAGUUUCAACAAAAUUUCAGCACCAACUGAAAUCACUGAAAUUCAGUUAUGUCAGUUUGCAUUUCAGCCAAAAGGCCGAAAUAUUCAUUUGAAUUUAAUUAAAUAUUU